GAUGAACGCUGGCGGCGUGCCUAAUACAUGCAAGUCGAGCGAACCAUUUCGGUGGUGAGCGGCGAACGGGUGAGUAACACGUAGGUGAUCUACCCAUUAGACGGGGACAACGACUGGAAACGGUCGCUAAUACCGGAUAGGACGAAAGUUUAAAGAUGCUUCGGCAUCACUAAUGGAUGAGCCUGCGGCGCAUUAGCUAGUUGGAGAGGUAAGAGCUCCCCAAGGCGACGAUGCGUAGCCGACCUGAGAGGGUGAACGGCCACACUGGGACUGAGACACGGCCCAGACUCCUACGGGAGGCAGCAGUAGGGAAUCUUCGGCAAUGGACGAAAGUCUGACCGAGCAACGCUGCGUGAAUGAAGAAGGCCUUCGGGUUGUAAAAUUCUGUUAUAAGGGAAGAAAGACACGAGUAGGAAAUGGCUCGUGAGUGACGGUACCUUAUGAGAAAGCCACGGCUAACUACGUGCCAGCCGCCGCGGUAA
rnacentral:rRNA from 1 species